GUGCUGUGGCCGAAUGGUUACGCUGUCCGCUUUGUAAGCGGAUGAUUCUUGGGUUCGAUUCUCAUCUGCUGGCA
rnacentral:tRNA from 1 species